UAGCCAGUGAUGAUGACUGCCUGGAAGCGGAUGGCUUCCUAAAAUCAGAACUGGUUUUGAGAGGAAUGGAAGUGAAACUGAAAGGAGCCAGCAAAGGGAAGAGCAAGGAAGAAGCUCCAGAUCAAUGGAAAAAUGAGAAAAAAAAACAAACUAGAGACAUCUCAGCUCUCCUGACUACCCUUCCCAGAGAGAAUGAAACACAGCUAAGUAGAAUAAGUGCUGAAAAGGAAGCUAUGACUCAUCCCAUUCAGACUUUACAGCAAAGAUCGUGAGAGAAAGUGGGUAUCCAUUCAUUGGAGACUGGCUAAACAAAUUGUGGUAUAUGAAGCUAAUGGAAUAUUAUUGCACCAUAAAUAUUGAUAAAUAUCCAGAGAAGCUUGGGAGGACUUGUAUGAACUGGUGCAGAACAAAGCAAGCUACCAGGAGAACAGUUUGCAUGAUGACUACAAUAAAGUAAAGAUAAACAACACUGAAAGGCUUCAGAAUUCUGAUAAAUGCGGUGACCAACCAUGGCUUCUGAAGACUGGACGGGUGGGGUGCAUGUCUCCUGACUCUCAGCAGAGAGGUAGAAGAAGUGAAAUGUGGAAUACAAGCAGACAUUUUCACAUAUGACCUGGGUGAUGAUUUAUUUUGCUUGACUAUACUUUUUUGUUGUAUGGGAGGAUUCCUUGGGAGGGGAGGGUAAAGGAAGAGAAUCAUUGGGAAAUGAUAGUGAUUUUUUAAAAUUAUUCCAAUAAAA